rnacentral:lncRNA from 10 species
GAGUCCCCGAGGGAGGCUACGGUAGGAUAUCUUCCCUAGAGACAGGGUCUUGCUCUGUUGCCCAGGCAGGUCUUGAAUUCCUGGGCUCAAGCGAUCCUCCUGCCUCAGCCUCUUGAGUAGUUUACUACAAGAUCUUUUCUGGCCUGAGAAAGGGGGCCUCCCCUGUCUAGAGGGAGAUCGGGCUCUCCCUGUGAGUGGGCCAAGGAGCCUCUUGGAGAGGGUUUCUAGAUUUAGCAAAUAAAAAUACAGGGUACUCGGUUAAAUUUGAACUUGCAUUUCAGAUAAACGACGAAUAACUUUUUAGCAUGAGUAUUUCUCAUGCAAUAUUGGCUACAUACUUACACUUAAAAAAAAUUGUUACCUGAAAUUCAAAUGUAACUGGAUGCCCUGUGUUUUAUCUGGUAAUCCCAGUCUUGGAAGGAAAAGGAUCAAAUACGAACCCCCUAAUUCUCUGAGCCUUCUUGGUCCAGCCUACACAGCUGGAAGCCCAAAGGUGGCGCUCUUGGAGUCUGACCUCCCCUGGCACAGGGUUUGAGAUGGUCUUUACCCAGCUCCACUGGCCCAAAAGUAGCCCAUAGACCCAAAAGGGGCCUAGCACCUCUCCCCAGGGCAUCAGGAUGGGGCCCCAGGUCCCCAACUGGUUGUCCUGUGGACCUCAGGGAAUGACGACGCAGGAGUCAAGAGCCUCGGUUGCAGCUCCCGCUGUGCCGCCCACGACUGGCUCCGGGGUCAGAUGAUCUGCUGGUUCAAAUCCUGACUCAGCCUCCUACUAGCCAGGCCAGUCUCUAGACCCCUCCCAGCCUCCAUGUCCUCACCUGAGAAAACAGGGUCACAAUACCUGCCUUGCCAACGUGAUGAGGACCAGCGGAGAAGGUGAAAGGGCUUAUAUUCCAAAGCCCACAAGGUUGAAGAUGCACACCCGUGACACAGCCUCAGGAUGUCCUGACGACAUGUGCCAAGGUGGUCAUACGUUUUAGGGAGACAUGAGACAUCAAUCAACACAUGUAAGAUGAACAUUGGUUCAGUCUGGAAAAGGCCGGGCAACGCCAAGCAAAUGUGGGACAACUCGCAGCCAGGAGAAAGCUUCCAGGUCACAGUAUUUUUGACUUACCACGUGUUUAUUGGGACGUAACCCCUUCCUAAGAUGAAGAGCAUCUGUAUACAUCCAGAAUCCUGUGGAGCAACUCAUAACCCAUGAGGAAUGGAAGCCGACAGACAGACUCAUCCCCAGGACAGGUGGUUCUCACUACAUCUCAUAAAGCUUCUUAGAAGAUCUUACAGGAUUGAGCAACCAGCCAGCCACAGCAGGGGCCAACUGGAUAACACGUCUUUGCAUAGGCUCUCCCUCUGUCCCUGUCACCCUCCCCUUUUCCUAACCUUGUUCCUUGGGAUUAUGUUUUGAAAUAAAUUAUUCAGAGAAAUGAAGCCAAAGCUGACCCAUUAGCCAAUAGCUAGGUUCUGUGAUGACAGAGCUUCUGGGCUAUAAUCGUUUACUGAGAAGCCAGCGUUCCUGAGGGGAUAAUGGCUCGUUCCAUUCAGCUGCAGCAUAGGAGUGAGGGCAGGGCAUUAGCAGAAGAUAACACCAGAAACGUGCUCUGGGGCCUGUUGAUGACUUUCUGUGCCAAGCACAGACAUUUAGCCUUUAUUCUGUAUGUGAUGGGAAGCCAGUGCCAGUGGUGGGUUUGAGCAGGGAACCAGCAACCAGUGGUGGGUUUGAGCAGGGAACCAGCAAUACUCAAGCUCUGCUUGGAUGGAGGCCAGUCAGGGAGGAGUUAGGGCAGGAGGACCAGUCAGGGAGGAGACUUAGGGCAGGAGGACCAGUCAGGGAGGAGACUUAGGGCAGGAGGACCGGUCAGGGAGGAGACUUAGGGCAGGAGUACUGGUCAGGGAGGAGACUUAGGGCAGGAGGACCGGUCAGGGAGGAGACUUAGGGCAGGAGGACCGGUCAGGGAGGAGACUUAGGGCAGGAGGACCGGUCAGGGAGGAGUUAGGGCUGGAGGACGGGUCAGGGAGGAGACUUAGGGCAGGAGGACCGGUCAGGGAGGAGUUAGGGCUGGAGGACCGGUCAGGGAGGAGUUAGGGCAGGAGGACUGGUCAGGGAGGAGUUAGGGGAGGAGGACCGGUCAGGGAGGAGUUAGGGCAGGAGGACGGGUCAGGGAGGAGUUAGGGGAGGAGGACUGGUCAGGGAGGAGUUAGGGCUGGAGGACCGGUCAGGGAGGAGUUAGGGCAGGAGGACCGGUCAGGGAGGAGUUAGGGCUGGAGGACCGGUCAGGGAGGAGUUAGGGCAGGAGGACCGGUCAGGGAGGAGUUAGGGCAGGAGGACCGGUCAGGGAGGAGACUUAGGGCAGGAGGACUGGUCAGGGAGGAGUUAGGGCUGGAGGACCGGUCAGGGAGGAGUUAGGGCAGGAGGACUGGUCAGGGAGGAGUUAGGGCAGGAGGACAGGUCAGGGAGGAGUUAGGGCAGGAGGAUCGGUCAGGGAGGAGUUAGGGCAGGAGGACCGGUCAGGGAGGAGUUAGGGCAGGAGGACCGGUCAGGGAGGAGUUAGGGCAGGAGGACAGGUCAGGGAGGAGACUUAGGGCUGGAGGACUGGUCAGGGAGGAGUUAGGGCAGGAGGACCAGUUAGGAGGCAGUGACUUAGGACUUCAGCAGUGGCACUAGAAAGGGGAUGGAUAUGAACGACAUUGCAAAGUAAAACUAGAGAGACGGCCGGGCACAGUGGCUCACUCCUGUAAUCCCAGCACUUUGGGAGGCCAAGGCGGGUGGAUCAUGAGGUCAGGAGAUCGAGACCAGCCUGGCCAACAUGGUGAAACCCUAUCUCUACUAGAAAAAAAAAAAAAUAGCCAGGCGUGGUGGCGGGCGCCUGUAAUCCCAGCUACUCCAGAGGCUGAGGCAGGAGAAUUUGCUUGAACCAGGGAGUCGGAAGUUGCAGUGAGCUGAGAUCGCACCACUGCACUCCAGCCUGGGCAAUAGAGUGAGACUCCGUCUCAAUAACAAAACAAACAAACAAAAACCUAGAGAGACUUGGCACCUUGCAGAGAGAAGCAAAAGAUGACCCUGAGGUCUGGAGUCCAGGAAGCCAAGGACAGCAAAAGCAUCCACAGAAACAGGAAAAGGGCAGGUGUGGGAGGGAAGGUGAGAGGUUCAUCAGACCUCACAGCCCCUGGCAGCGCCUCCUGGAUCUUUGAAAUCCUGUGCACCCCAGGAGACUCCGGGAGGCCCAUCUGAGCUCACCGGAGACAGGUCUGCCGUCUCUCCUCUCAUCACUGGGGACAGAAAGCCUGAACAUGAGGCCUGGACUACGGGGCUCAGACCAGAAUAUUUCCAGACUUAAGGGCAGUAAUGUGGAGCCCAGGAAGGAAUAUUGAGGACAGAGGGCACAUUACUUAGCUCAAGGGGUGCUGGGUUCUUAUUUUCUACUUUCAAGAAAUGUUUGCUAUAGUCACUGUAACCACCACAAAACAGUGAAUAAUACCAUGAGCCAAAUGUAUGUUUCACAAUUUGUAUGGCUGAUUCUACGCACAUUUAAAUGUGUUUAUGACAAUUGUAGAUUUCGGUUUUCCUCUGG